rnacentral:misc_RNA from 1 species
ACCGACGAAGGCGAUUACAAAAUCAAAUUGAAGAAACUGACUGAGUUUUUAGAGGCAGGUGAUAAAGCUAAAGUCACUGUUCGCUUCCGUGGACGGGAGAUGGCUCACCGUGAAUUGGGUAUGGAAGUGCUCAAGCGUGUCGAAACGGACUUGACUGAGUUAGGUGUCGUCGAGCAGUUUCCUAAGCUCGAAGGCCGUCAAAUGGUCAUGGUCAUGGCAGCGAAGAAAAAAGUAUAGAAGCUUAAGGUUAUACUUUAAGUUUUUCCUCAUCCAAGCAAGGUUAGGCACUCUUGCUGGGUGUUUUUUUAAUCCUCUGUUAAAGGAGACUAAGAUGCCUA